rnacentral:rRNA from 1 species
GAUCAUGGCUCAGGAUGAACGCUGGCGGCGUGCUUAACACAUGCAAGUCGAACGAAGCACUUUAACCUGAUUCUUCGGAUGAAGGUUUUUGUGACUGAGUGGCGGACGGGUGAGUAACGCGUGGGUAACCUGCCUCAUACAGGGGGGAUAACAGUUAGAAAUGACUGCUAAUACCGCAUAAGACCACGGAGCCGCAUGGCUCAGUGGGAAAAACUCCGGUGGUAUGAGAUGGACCCGCGU